rnacentral:rRNA from 1 species
AUUGAACGCUGGCGGCAGGCUUAACACAUGCAAGUCGAGCGAGCGGCGGACGGGUGAGUAAUGUCUGGGAAACUGCCUGAUGGAGGGGGAUAACUACUGGAAACGGUAGCUAAUACCGCAUACCAUCAGAUGUGCCCAGAUGGGAUUAGCUAGUAGGUGGGGUAAUGGCUCACCUAGGCGACGACCCCUAGCUGGUCAGAUAGGAUGACCAGCCACACGGGAACUGAGACACGGUCCAGCUUCCUACGGUAGGCAGCAGUGGGUAAUAUGGCACAAUGGGCGCAAGCCUGGUACAGCCAUGCCGCGUUUGUGAUGAGGGCCUUCGGGUUGUAAAACACUUUCAGCGAGGAGGCGUUACUCGCAGAAGAAGCACCGGCUAGCUCCGUGGCGGCGGCCGCGGUAAUUC